GUACGGAUUGAUUGGUUGUAUUUCAAAACCCUGUGGGCAGUACUAUGUUUGUGGAUUGUGAAUAAAAGAGGCUGUAUGUACCAGUACAGCCAGUUCUGCUUGACCUCAAAAUGAAGUGUCAUCUCGUUAUUGUGGGAAUUGGAUUGUAUGCUGAUUGCCAGGAGUGUAAGCUGAUUGUAUGUUUUUCCUGUUCAGCUGCUUACAGCAUUCGUAUGCUUCUCCGGUUUGGUGGUUGUGGUGUCUGCUGCAGUGCUUGGAGUCCUCAGGAAGCGCUAGGAGCAUCCUUCAACGGAGGUACCCAGUCGGGGUGCCAGGUGAUCCGUUACA